rnacentral:rRNA from 1 species
ACUGCUCAGUAACACGUGGACAACCUGCCCUUAGGUCGGGUAUAAACCCGGGAAACUGGGUAUAAUCCCCGAUAGGUCUCGGCUGCUGGAAUGCAUCGAGAUUAAAAGCUCCGGCGCCUAAGGAUGGGUCUGCGGCCUAUCAGGUAGUAGUGGGUGUAGUGUACCUACUAGCCUACGACGGGUACGGGUUGUGAGAGCAAGAGCCCGGAGAUGGAUUCUGAGACACGAAUCCAGGCCCUACGGGGUGCAGCAGGCGCGAAAACUUUACAAUGCUGGCAACAGCGAUAAGGGAACCUCGAGUGCCAGGUUACAAAUCUGGCUGUCGAGAUGCCUAAAAAGCAUUUCAUAGCAAGGGCCGGGCAAGACCGGUGCCAGCCGCCGCGGUAACACCGGCGGCUCGAGUGGUAACCGUUAUUAUUGGGUCUAAAGGGUCUGUAGCCGGCCGGAUAAGUCUCUUGGGAAAUCUGGCAGCUUAACUGUCAGGCUUUCAGGAGAUACUGUCUGGCUCGAGGCCGGGAGAGGUGAGAGGUACUUCAGGGGUAGGGGUGAAAUCUUGUAAUCCUUGAAGGACCACCAGUGGCGAAGGCGUCUCACCAGAACGGACCUGACGGCAAGGGACGAAAGCUAGGGGCACGAACCGGAUUAGAUACCCGGGUAGUCCUAGCCGUAAACGAUACUCGCUAGGUGUCGGCCACGGUGCGACCGUUGUCGGUGCCGUAGGGAAGCCGUGAAGCGAGCCACCUGGGAAGUACGGCCGCAAGGCUGAAACUUAAAGGAAUUGGCGGGGGAGCACCACAACGGGUGGAGCUUGCGGUUUAAUUGGAUUCAACGCCGGG